UUUUUUUUUAUAUUUAAUUUUUUAUGAUUUUUUUUACUAGCUCAGAUUGAACGCUGGCGGCAGGCCUAACACAUGCAAGUCGAGCGGCAGCACGGGUACUUGUACCUGGUGGCGAGCGGCGGACGGGUGAGUAAUGCCUAGGAAUCUGCCUGGUAGUGGGGGAUAACGCUCGGAAACGGACGCUAAUACCGCAUACGUCCUACGGGAGAAAGCAGGGGACCUUCGGGCCUUGCGCUAUCAGAUGAGCCUAGGUCGGAUUAGCUAGUUGGUGAGGUAAUGGCUCACCAAGGCGACGAUCCGUAACUGGUCUGAGAGGAUGAUCAGUCACACUGGAACUGAGACACGGUCCAGACUCCUACGGGAGGCAGCAGUGGGGAAUAUUGGACAAUGGGCGAAAGCCUGAUCCAGCCAUGCCGCGUGUGUGAAGAAGGUCUUCGGAUUGUAAAGCACUUUAAGUUGGGAGGAAGGGCAGUAAAUUAAUACUUUGCUGUUUUGACGUUACCGACAGAAUAAGCACCGGCUAACUCUGUGCCAGCAGCCGCGGUAAUACAGAGGGUGCAAGCGUUAAUCGGAAUUACUGGGCGUAAAGCGCGCGUAGGUGGUUUGUUAAGUUGGAUGUGAAAUCCCCGGGCUCAACCUGGGAACUGCAUUCAAAACUGACAAGCUAGAGUAUGGUAGAGGGUGGUGGAAUUUCCUGUGUAGCGGUGAAAUGCGUAGAUAUAGGAAGGAACACCAGUGGCGAAGGCGACCACCUGGACUGAUACUGACACUGAGGUGCGAAAGCGUGGGGAGCAAACAGGAUUAGAUACCCUGGUAGUCCACGCCGUAAACGAUGUCAACUAGCCGUUGGGAGCCUUGAGCUCUUAGUGGCGCAGCUAACGCAUUAAGUGACCGCCUGGAGACGCCGAAUUGU
rnacentral:rRNA from 1 species